rnacentral:rRNA from 1 species
AGAGUUUGAUCAUGGCUCAGGAUGAACGCUGGCGGCGUGCCUAACACAUGCAAGUCGAGCGAUUUACUUCGGUAAAGAGCGGCGGACGGGUGAGUAACGCGUGGGUAACCUGCCCUGUACACACGGAUAACAUACCGAAAGGUAUGCUAAUACAAGAUAAAAUGUAUUUAUCGCAUGAUAGAUAUAUCAAAGCGUUAGCAGUACAGGAUGGACCCGCGUCUGAUUAGCUAGUUGGUAAGGUAACGGCUUACCAAGGCGACGAUCAGUAGCCGACCUGAGAGGGUGAUCGGCCACAUUGGAACUGAGACACGGUCCAAACUCCUACGGGAGGCAGCAGUGGGGAAUAUUGCACAAUGGGCGAAAGCCUGAUGCAGCAACGCCGCGUGAGCGAUGAAGGCCUUCGGGUCGUAAAGCUCUGUCCUCAAGGAAGAUAAUGACGGUACUUGAGGAGGAAGCCCCGG